GCUGGCGUAGCUCAGUUGGCAGAGCAUCUGAUUUGUAAUCAGAGGGUCAGGGGUUCAAAUCCCUUCGCCAGCUCCA
rnacentral:tRNA from 2 species